ACACCAACACUCAAUCAACUCGACAAGCAAGAAGAAAAGAGAAAACAAAGGUUUUUGAUAAAAAGUUGGAUGCUGUUACAAGGGGCCACGACCAGAAUAUAAAGGAGAAGCCUUGUACAUGCACAAGGUCUCGAAAAUACAAGAGAAAUAAAGACAAAGGCUCCCUUGGAAACACAACAAAGACUAGAGUUUUCGAAAAUAAGAACAUAGCAUAAAAACUUAGAUAAAAUUAUAUAACAUAAGGUCUUCAUGUGGACAGACCAAGAUCAAUCAUCUAGGAGGUAAGAGAAGUAGACUUGUGGCCUCGUUAAAAACCUUCCUUUGGAAAACCCAAUGGGACAAAACCAAAGGUUAGGAAAAGAGCACACACAAGCUACUUGCCUAGAUGAUGAUCAGCUUGAAGGUGGAGUAGCUUGAAUGAUGGUUAAGGUGUCUUGGAUGAUCAAGCUUCGGCCAAGACUAAUGUCUUCUUCUUGUUUCCAAAUGUUCUUCAAGGUUGCAUCCUCAGCUACAAGCUCUUCAGGUUCAGGUUCAUUCUUCCAGUCCUUGGUGCUUUCCAUGAUCACAUCAUCCCCUCCCACUUCAAAAAGAUUUGUCCUCAAAUCUGUGUUACCUGCAAUAGAAGGGACCAAGUCAGUAACAUCAGAGUUUAUAAUCAGAUUACACUUACCUUGCAAGCCUCUUUGAUAGGCAUUAUUGCUGACUGGUUCUAUUAUAUAGAAGGGACUGAUCCAUUUGGCUCUCCUUACUCCUGAGGCAUUACUUAAACCUGAUACAUUGAAACAAGACAAGUGAACACAAGCAAAAACAUCAUAGAGUAAGAGUCUUAUCCCAAAGUUGUAUUUUAUCGGUUUUGGCUUGUAUGCUGCAUCUGGAGGUUCUUCUUUGAUGAGGAUGAAGCAAGUGACGUCCUGUUGUCUCUCCUGGUUUAGAUCAGGCGGCUUGAAACGUUUGUCUUCCUCACGCUUGUUCUUUCCCUUGGUAUGCUUCAAAGCUUCCAUAUAAUCUGCACAUGACUCUUUUGACAAAAACAAGUGCAUCAUAUUUGUGUAAUCAAUAAAAGAACUCUUGAAAACAUGAUUAGUUACCUUAGCAUGCUCACCUGGUCGCCAUAGAUAGGUUUGAGAUGUUCUAAACUCAGAAAAAUUCAAACAAAGUAAACACAUGAUCACCCGACUUGUAGAAUUCAUAACUCUUUCAUAUGAGAAGCUUUGGACAUGAUUCCAAUUCGACGUGAGACCCUGAUGAGUGUAGUUUCCAUUGCAGUUGAGUUUGUUGCUUAAUUCCUUCUGGGUGCUGAGAUAUGCUCCUCGGACUGCUCCUAUGUUAAACCUGGCGGCUAGACAGUUUCCAAGAUUUGAUUGUUGCAUCUCCAAUUUAGCCAAGGACUCAUCAUGGAUACUCUGAUCAUUAUAGCCCCUUUCUUCACCUGUACCUUUUUCAGCUUGUUUUGGACAAGUCAAGUGUGUUAUCAUGUCAAAGAAAGUGUUGUAGACCAGAAUGUCUCCAAAGCACAAAACAGCAUGAUUCCUCCAUCUAUUAUGUAUAUCAACAAAAAUAUUGCAGACCCAAUGAUGAGAUCCUAGGAUGAUGCUCUGGAACAGAUGGGAUAAUUCUUGCAGAAACGAAUCAAAGACUCAAGCUUCUCAAGGUAUGUGGAUCGAAUGGUGACACAAGAGGCUGCGGAAAGGCUCCUUGAUACUCCUAGGCAAUAGAUCGGAUAUGACACACCAAACUAGAGCCCUUAGUCUCUGGAUAUUACACACCAGAAGUUGGAUAUUACACACCAACACUCAAUCAACUCGACAAGCAAGAAGAAAAGAGAAAACAAAGGUUUUUGAUAAAAAGAUGGAUACUGAUACAAGGGGCCACGACCAGAAUAUAAAGGAGAAGCCUUGUACAUGCACAAGGUCUCGAAAAUACAAGGGAAAUAAAGACAAAGGCUCCCUUGGAAACACAACAAAGACUAGAGUUUUUUUUGAAAACUAAAUAACAUAAAAGCAUAGCUUAAAAUAUAAGAUAAGGUCUUCAUGUGGACAGACCAAGAUCAAUCAUCUAGGAGAUAGGAGAAGUAGACUUGUGGCCUCGUUAAAAACCUUCCUUUGGAAAAACCCAGUGGGACAAAACCAAAGGUUAGGAAAAGCACACACAAGCUACUUGCCUAGAUGAUAAUCAGCUUGAAGGUGGAGUAGCUUGAAUGAUGGUUAAGGUGUCUUGGAUGAUCAAGCUUCGGCCAAGACUAAUGUAUUCUUCUUGUUUCCAAAUGUUCUUCAAGGUUGCACCCUCAGCUACAAGCUCUUCAGGUUCAGGUUCAUGCUUCCAGUCCUUGGUGCUUUCCAUGAUCACAUCAUCCCCUCCCACUUCAAAAAGAUUUGUCCUCAAAUCUGUGUUACCUGCAAUAGAAGGGACCAAGUCAGUAACAUCAGAGUUUAUAAUCAGAUUACACUUACCUUGCAAGCCUCUUGGAUAGGCAUUAUCGCUGACUGGUUCUAUUAGGUAGAAGGGACUGAUCCAUUUGGCUUUCCUCACUCCUGAGGCAUUACUUAAACCUGAUACAUUGAAACAAGACAAGUUAAGACAAGUAAAAUCAUAAUAGAGUAAGAGUCUUAUCCCAAAGUUGUCUUUUCUCGGUUUUGGCUUGUAUGCUGCAUCUGGAGGUGCUUCUUUGAUGAGGAUGAAGCAAGUGACGUCCUGAUGUCUCUCCUGGCUUAUAUCAGGCGGCUUGAAACGUUUGUCUUCCUCACGCUUGUUCUUUCCCUUGGUAUGAUUCAAAGCUUCCAUAUAAUCUGCACAUGACUCUGGUCGCCAUAGAUAGGAUUGAGAUGUUCUAAACUCAGAAAAAUUCAGACAAAGCAAACACAGAAUCACCCGUCUUGUAGAGCCCAUAACUCUUUCAUUUGAGAAGCUUUGGACAUGAUUCCAGUUCGACGUGAGACCCUGAUGAGUGUAGUUUCCACUGCAGUUGAGUUUGUUGCUUAAUUCCUUCUGGUUGCUGAGAUAUGAUCCUCGGACUGCUCCUAUGUCAGAGUUGGCGGCUAGACAGCUUGCAAAAAGAGACAACUGAUUGUCUUUGACCCGUGUGAUUUCCAAAAGACAUUUUUGGGUAUUUUUCUGUUCAAUCCCUUUGUCUGGAACAAGACCAGAGCAGUAGAGCUUUCAAGACACGAACUGGGCAUGGAACAUGUUGUAUUUGAACCUGGAGGAGAGUUGUGGAAUCACAGGAACAAUCCCAUAGUGAUUGAGAAGAAAUCGGCAGCAACAACAAUUGUUUUUGGUGAUCUUUUACCCUCUGAAGCUAAAGGGAUGCACGUCUCAGCUCAGCAAGAGUUUCACUACAAAACCAAUUGGAGAAUGUUACCCACUCUUUCCUGGAUCCAACAAACCAGAAAACGCAGCAAAUGGCCUCCUGAUCAUCAAGAUAUUGUCAAUUCCGCAAAACAUAUCGGUUUAGCCAAAUUCUGUGAGCUGCUUAAUGAGAUACCACUUAAUGAGAUCCUAGGAUGAUGCUCUGGAACAGAUGGGAUAAUCCUUGCAGAAACGAAUCAAAAGACUCAAGUUUCUCAAGGUAUGUGGAUCGAAUGGUGACACAAGAGGCUGCGGAAAGGCUCCUUGAUACUCCUAGGCAAUAGAUUGGAUAUGACACACCAAACUAGAGCCCUUAGUCUCUGGAUAUUACACACCAGAAGUUGGAUAUUACACACCAACACUCAAUCAACUCGACAAGCAAGAAGAAAAGAGAAAACAAAGGUUUUUUGAUAAAAAGAUGGAUACUGAUACAAGGGGCCACGACCAGAAUAUAAAGGAGAAGCCUUGUACAUGCACAAGGUCUCGAAAAUACAAGGAAAAUAAAGACAAGGCUCCCUUGGAAACACAACAAAGACUAGAGUUUUCGAAAAUAAAAACAUAGC
rnacentral:lncRNA from 1 species